UGCCCUUCUUCAAAAGAACGAAUUGAUGGACAAAUUGAAAUACAUCUGAGCACAUCGACGUAAAACAACUUAUGGUAGCUAAUGAACGGAUCUAUCCAAAUCUCUGUUACAAUUGAAGAUCCAUUGGAAACUGACCGAGUUAUGGCAGGUGACAGAAAAAGCUUAGGUCGCGAAUAACUUUUUUGUCCGACAUCGGAGCACAUGGUCGUGUAAGACUUUUAGCUUGCAUUCAUUGAGAUCUAUCCAAAUCACAAAGAAAAUCCAAAAUCGGUUGAUAAAUGACUGAGAUAUGGGCAAAAAAGAGAAGUUGAAAUGCGAACCGCGAGAAAUCAGCCUGAAGGUAGGCAAUUCGUAUAAGCCAUUCAAUGAAUUAGAAGUUACUUUUUCGAAUAACAUUUGACACGGACAACUUAGCACAUCGGCGUAGAAUAACUUUUGGUAGCUUAUGAGAAGAUCUAUCCAUAUCUGUGUUACAAUUGAAGAUCCAUUGGAAACUGACCGAGUUAUGGCAGGUGACAGAAAAAGCUUAGGUCGCGAAUAACUUUUUUGUCCGACAUCGGAGCACAUGGUCGUGUAAGACUUUUAGCUUGCAUUCAUUGAGAUCUAUCCAAAUCACAAAGAAAAUCCGAAAUCGGUUGAUAAAUGACUGAGAUAUGGGCAAAAAAGAGAAGUUGAAAUGCGAACCGCGAGAAAUCAGCCUGAAGGUAGCCAAUUCGUAUAAGCCAUUCAAUGAAUUAGAAGUUACUUUUUCGAAUAACUUUUUCCACAGACAUCUGAGCACAUCGACGUUGAACAACUUAUGGUAGCUAAUGAGCAGAUCUAUCCAAAUCUGUGUUACAAUUGAAGAUCCAUUGGAAACUGACCGAGUUAUAAGCAUCCAAAGUGGCAAAAUGAGAAAUUUUUGUUU